rnacentral:rRNA from 1 species
ACGUCAAGUCAUCAUGGCCCUUAUGGGCUGGGCUACACACGUGCUACAAUGGCGGUGACAAUGGGCAGCCACCCAGCGAUGGGGAGCUAAUCCCAAAAAGCCGUCUCAGUUCGGAUUGCACUCUGCAACUCGAGUGCAUGAAGUCGGAAUCGCUAGUAAUCGCGGAUCAGCAUGCCGCGGUGAAUACGUUCCCGGGCCUU